ACGGGAGGCAGCAGUAGGGAAUCUUCCACAAUGGACGAAAGUCUGAUGGAGCAACGCCGCGUGAGUGAAGAAGGGUUUCGGCUCGUAAAACUCUGUUGUUAAAGAAGAACAUAUCUGAGAGUAACUGUUCAGGUAUUGACGGUAUUUAACCAGAAAGCCACGGCUAACUACGUGCCAGCAGCCGCGGUAAUACGUAGGUGGCAAGCGUUGUCCGGAUUUAUUGGGCGUAAAGCGAGCGCAGGCGGUUUUUUAAGUCUGAUGUGAAAGCCUUCGGCUCAACCGAAGAAGUGCAUCGGAAACUGGGAAACUUGAGUGCAGAAGAGGACAGUGGAACUCCAUGUGUAGCGGUGAAAUGCGUAGAUAUAUGGAAGAACACCAGUGGCGAAGGCGGCUGUCUGGUCUGUAACUGACGCUGAGGCUCGAAAGUAUGGGUAGCAAACAGGAUUAGAUACCCUGGUAGUCCAUACCGUAAACGAUGAAUGCUAAGUGUUGGAGGGUUUCCGCCCUUCAGUGCUGCAGCUAACGCAUUAAGCAUUCCGCCUGGGGAGUACGGCCGCAAGGCUGAAACUCAAAGGAAUUGACGGGGGCCCGCACAAGCGGUGGAGCAUGUGGUUUAAUUCGAAGCUACGCGAAGAACCUUACCAGGUCUUGACAUACUAUGCAAAUCUAAGAGAUUAGACGUUCCCUUCGGGGACAUGGAUACAGGUGGUGCAUGGUUGUCGUCAGCUCGUGUCGUGAGAUGUUGGGUUAAGUCCCGCAACGAGCGCAACCCUUAUUAUCAGUUGCCAGCAUUAAGUUGGGCACUCUGGUGAGACUGCCGGUGACAAACCGGAGGAAGGUGGGGAUGACGUCAAAUCAUCAUGCCCCUUAUGACCUGGGCUACACACGUGCUACAAUGGAUGGUACAACGAGUUGCGAACUCGCGAGAGUAAGCUAAUCUCUUAAAGCCAUUCUCAGUUCGGAUUGUAGGCUGCAACUCGCCUACAUGAAGUCGGAAUCGCUAGUAAUCGCGGAUCAGCAUGCCGCGGUGAAUACGUUCCCGGGCCUUGUACACACCGCCCGUCACACCAUGAGAGUUUGUAACACCCAAAGUCG
rnacentral:rRNA from 2 species